rnacentral:rRNA from 1 species
GAAAGGCGGGCUAAACCCGCGUACAUGCCACCGGGGCAUCCCGGAGGCAGGAAAGGCUUCGGCCGGACAGGGAUGGGCAUGCGGCGCAUUAGGCAGUAGGCGGGGUAACGGCCCACCUAACCGACGAUGCGUAGGGGUUCUGAGAGGAAGGUCCCCCACACUGGUACUGAGACACGGACCAGACUCCUACGGGAGGCAGCAGUGAGGAAUAUUGGUCAAUGGUCGGGAGACUGAACCAGCCAAGCCGCGUGAGGGAUGAAGGUACAGAGUAUCGUAAACCUCUUUUGUCAGGGAACAAAGGCGGGGACGUGUCCCCGGAUGAGUGUACCUGAAGAAAAAGCAUCGGCUAACUCCGUGCCAGCAGCCGCGGUAAUACGGAGGAUGCGAGCGUUAUCCGGAUUUAUUGGGUUUAAAGGGUGCGCAGGCGGUCUGUUAAGUCAGCGGUCAAAGCCCGGGGCUCAACCCCGGCCCGCCGUUGAAACCGGCAGUCUCGAGUUGGAGAGAAGUAUGCGGAAUGCGCGGUGUAGCGGUGAAAUGCAUAGAUAUCGCGCAGAACUCCGAUUGCGAAGGCAGCAUGCCGGCUCCACACUGACGCUGAGGCACGAAAGCGAGGGUAUCGAACAGGAUUAGAUACCCUGGUAGUCC